rnacentral:rRNA from 1 species
GUGGGGAAUAUUGCACAAUGGGCGAAAGCCUGAUGCAGCGACGCCGCGUGAGCGAAGAAGUAUUUCGGUAUGUAAAGCUCUAUCAGCAGGGAAGAUAAUGACGGUACCUGACUAAGAAGCACCGGCUAAAUACGUGCCAGCAGCCGCGGUAAUACGUAUGGUGCAAGCGUUAUCCGGAUUUACUGGGUGUAAAGGGAGCGUAGGCGGUUUUGCAAGUCUGAUGUGAAAGCCCGGGGCUCAACUCCGGUAUUGCAUUGGAAACUGCGGAACUAGAGUGUCGGAGGGGUAAGUGGAAUUCCUAGUGUAGCGGUGAAAUGCGUAGAUAUUAGGAGGAACACCAGUGGCGAAGGCGGCUUACUGGACGAUUACUGACGCUGAGGCUCGAAAGCGUGGGGAGCAAACAGG